CCAGGACUUCCUCUCGGGUAUCCAGGACUCGAAGCUAGCACUCCUCGGGAGUCUGGCGGGAGCUAAAGCCUCUCUCUUCCAGGGUCUCCGGAAAGCCAAGUCUUCCCUCGCGACAGGGGUAAGUGGCGCUCUGCUGUCCAAGGGCGCUGGCUUCAGUAGCCUCUCUCAGACGGGAAGCGGAGGAAGCUAUGGAAGCGGUUUUGACAGCAGCUAUGGCACGAACUAUGGCACCAACUCCAGGCCGGUGGGCAGGCCUUACCCAGCGGACCCCUACCCAAUCUACCCUCCGUACCCACAGCCACAGCCUCAGCCCGUGUACCCCGUCCCCGUGUACCCUGUCUACAGACCUAAGCCCUUCUUCGGCUUCCAAAGUUUCAAGGCUCCUCGUCCCGGUUAUCAUCACGGUGGAUGGUAGAGGAGACGGUGCUGCCAUCUACACGGUGAAAGCAACGGCAAAGUUUCUCCGAGAAAUGGCUGAUUGUUAUUAUUUUACAAAUAGGUUUAGUCGUAAAAACUAAAGUAACUAUUUUCAUAUUUGGUGUUGUACAUUUGUCCGUUUUUUUUAAUGAUAUUAAUAGUAAUGUAGUGUUAUUGCGUGAAAGUUUUUUUUUUAAUAUCAUGUAGACUAGACACAUCCGAAAUGACUAAAAAUUAAAAAUAAACAUAUACGCAAAUCUUAAGCCAUCUCACAAUGCUACUUUUGAAUUUUAAAAAAGAAAUAUGAAUUAAGGUUAUUGUAAGAAUAUGUUUUCUCUUUUUAACUGAAAAUCAAGAGACCAAUAUAUUAUAAUUUACCAAUAUAUUAUCUAAUUUAGUUUUCAGCUAAAUUAGAUUCAAGUUUUCCAG